rnacentral:rRNA from 1 species
UACGGAGGGUGCAAGCGUUAUCCGGAUUUACUGGGUUUAAAGGGUGCGUAGGUGGGUCUGUAAGUCAGUGGUGAAAUCUCCGAGCUUAACUCGGAAACUGCCAUUGAUACUAUAGGUCUUGAAUUAUCUGGAGGUGAGCGGAAUAUGUCAUGUAGCGGUGAAAUGCUUAGAUAUGACAUAGAACACCAAUUGCGAAGGCAGCUCACUACGGAUAUAUUGACGCUGAGGCACGAAAGCGUGGGGAGCAAACAGG